GCUGCGAGUGCCACAAACCCGCAAGGGUUGUAGCUGCAAAUCCAUCAGGUGUGAAAAUGUACGCCUUCACGUUGGGAGACGGCGAACGAAGCCGCUUCACACGCGAAACGGAAGAUCGCGCCGAUCGUGCUGGGGAAUGGGUGGGGAGCCAGUAAAAACGGUUGUGUGUUCAUACCUCAUCGAAACGAAGAAAAAUCAAAUCAAACCUAACGGUGCCACCGCCUCGGUCCGCGGGCGAAGCGAAAGCACGCGAGCUGAAGACGAUCUUGGGCUCUCAUAGACCAUCCCAUUUCGGAAAGCCUUUCACUGCUACCGGAGCGCGGUGGUCGGUGUUGCCCGGGCGAAGGCUAAUGUUAGACAAAGUGACGGCUGGUGCGGAACGUGCGAUUCAUUCACUCUGCUUCGACCACAGCCGGACGGGGUGUGUCGAUAACAAAAAUUACGUCUUUGCACCUGUGAAGUUAGUAGAGUACCAGAAGCAGAACUCUUUAUCGUAUGGUUAAGCAGUUUGAAAUUCUAGCUACUAUUCAUCGCAUUACACCAGUGCUAAAAAGAAAGGUUAUGAUAGCAACUUUCAGUGCGAUCCACAGGGAGAUUCAUCGGUAACACAAAAAAAAAGUUGCAAUUUGCUCUAACAGCGUGAUCACUCCCAUCGUUAACGAUUGUUUACAUUCCGUCCCGCGAACGCUGAAAUCAUUGCGGCAGUGGCACGCGGUAUGCCCGUACACGCGUUUUGUUUAACGAGCUACGAACGAGUAGAGCUGUCCAUUCAUAUGGGGCUCGGCGCCAAGUAACAUCAACAAUUCAUCGCGGGAAGGUCUUGCUUCCCAGCUCUUAUCAGCAUUGUUUAGGUAUUGGGUUUUCUCGGUUUACAUGAAUACAUACAGACAGACCUGUAACAAACACCGUUCUUACGAUGAUCACGAGGUAAUCAUCCACCAAAGUGUCAUUUCAGUUCUAAAUUCGUUAGUGAUUAAGGUUAAUUGGUACAAACGUUGUCGCAGUACGGCACGUACACACGAUGUUGCAGGAAAACGACAUUUAAUGUCAUAACAGAACGUACAUUAGGGCAGACCUUUUAGUUUUAUUCGAGGAAUUUACAUACGAGUUGUGAUAAAAAUAAAUUCUACCACAGUUUCUAGCAAAUGCAUGAAAAACAUAGAUCAAAAUAAUCUGCAAGAAACAAACCAGUGUUGAUGAUGAUUCCCGAGGCGAACAAAAGCGCGAUGGAAUCAACAAACACAUAUUCCCGGAUGCACAGCGAUGGUCUAAUUACAGUCUUCUUUCAACACCGGUACUGCGCGGUGUGUUGUGACUCACAGCCACCAGAAACGUAUACCAUGGAUAGGAUGAAAAACGCGAUCGGAAAUAACGUUCUGCGUCAGCGGGGUUAGCGCAAAUCACUUCAUCGAGGAAGCAUACUGGCGAAGAAAACCUGCUUGUUCUUACGGUUGUGCGAGAUAAAUAUUUUACUAGAAUAUAUUCCGCUAGGUAAGCGCCUCAUAGUAUAACAUUUUUUUUUCAAAGCCUCAAAAGUAUUUAUACGAAACAGUUGCAUUUUCAAUGUAAAUUCAUAAAAUCGAUAAAUAGAUUAAAUUAAGGGGCGGUCCCGUGGUACAGUCGUCAACUCGUACGACUCAAUAACAUGCCCGUCAUGGAUUCAAUCCUAGAAUGCACCGUCCAUCCAUAACAAAGGACUGACUAUCCGGCUGCGUUGUAAUGAAUAAAAUUUCGAAAGCCUCUGUAUAGGCCGGCAUGUCCACCUAGGACGUUACGCCAAAUAGAAGACGAUUAAAUCGAUUUCAUCAUCAUCUGAAUACAGCGAUUUGGGUUUAAUUUGCCAAUGGUAGACGCAAUGACGCUUUUACCGGACAGGACAGUAGGACAGCCUAUUGUUCCAGAUCUACUUCGUUAGCUUGUGAGAAAAGACGGCGUAUUGUA